rnacentral:tRNA from 1 species
GGUGGCUCAGUGGUAGAGUGCUUGCCUUGCAUGCAUGAAGCCCGGGGUUCGAUUCCUCAGCACCA